CAGUCGCCACGGUAACACGUAGGGUGCGAGCGUUAAUCGGAAUUACUGGGCGUAAAGCGUGCGCAGGCGGUUUUGUAAGACAGAGGUGAAAUCCCCGGGCUCAACCUGGGAACUGCCUUUGUGACUGCAAGGCUGGAGUGCGGCAGAGGGGGAUGGAAUUCCGCGUGUAGCAGUGAAAUGCGUAGAUAUGCGGAGGAACACCGAUGGCGAAGGCAAUCCCCUGGGCCUGCACUGACGCUCAUGCACGAAAGCGCGGGGAGCAAACAGGAUUAGAUACCCCGGUAGUCCCUGUCUCUUAUAC
rnacentral:rRNA from 1 species